ensembl:lncRNA
UGUUCACUCUCACUCUGUCUGCAAACUAUUCCCUAAUAAAUACUGAAUCUGUAUGGGUGAGCACACACUUUAGGUUUGGAACACACUUUGAACUAAAUCCAACUGGUUAGAGUGAAUGGCUUACUGCAUAAGAGAGGUUGUACUGCACAUCAUCAACUCCAAGGGUCACAGUGGAUCUGGAGGCGUGAGAAGGGAAUACAUCAUGGCUGGGACUCCAGUUCAUUGCGGGGCAGCAUGCACACAUACCACCUACCAUCAUGUUUUUAGCAAGUAGGCGGAAACCUGAGAACCCCGAAGAACACAAACAUUUCCCUGAGCUCAGGAGCAAACUGUGGAGCCUGAAGCUAUGAGACAGCAACACUACCUGCUGUGCCACUGUGCCACCCAGUAAGUGCAGAAUGGUAAUACGCUCAGCAGGAAGCCAGACUGAAACCUCUGAGGUGGAAGAUGGAGACAGUGCUGUGAUUUGCGCACUUGCCUCUAAGAGUUGCAGUAAAUGUGCAAUCAAUUGUUUGGUUUGACAGCACUCUGGAUAUCAACUUUCAUUAAACAUUAAGUUUCCGGAGAAUAAGAAAUACUUUUAAGCUGAAAACAAUCACUUAGCACAAUGACGCCCCGAAUGGACUACAGAAUGUUACUCCCUGGGCAAUUAGUAUAAAUAUAAAAUGC